AGUGAACGCUGGCGGUAGGCCUAACACAUGCAAGUCGAACGGCAGCACAGUAAGAGCUUGCUCUUACGGGUGGCGAGUGGCGGACGGGUGAGGAAUACAUCGGAAUCUACUUUUUCGUGGGGGAUAACGUAGGGAAACUUACGCUAAUACCGCAUACGACCUGCGGGUGAAAGCAGGGGAUCUUCGGACCUUGCGCGAUUGAAUGAGCCGAUGUCGGAUUAGCUAGUUGGCGGGGUAAAGGCCCACCAAGGCGACGAUCCGUAGCUGGUCUGAGAGGAUGAUCAGCCACACUGGAACUGUGACACGGUCCAGACUCCUACGGGAGGCAGCAGUGGGGAAUAUUGGACAAUGGGCGCAAGCCUGAUCCAGCCAUACCGCGUGGGUGAAGAAGGCCUUCGGGUUGUAAAGCCCUUUUGUUGGGAAAGAAAAGCAGCAGGUUAAUACCCCGCUGUUCUGACGGUACCCAAAGAAUAAGCACCGGCUAACUUCGUG
rnacentral:rRNA from 1 species